rnacentral:snoRNA from 1 species
AGGAAGUUUUUUCCUUUUUCUUUUAUGAUGAAUAUGAGUGCAUUUGGCUCUAGGCAGGGAUAAUAUCUUUGUCGAUGUGGAAAAACUCAAGCUACCUUUUUUACUUUUAUCUGAUU